GAUGAACGCUGGCGGCGUGCCUAAUACAUGCAAGUCGAGCGAACGGACGAGAAGCUUGCUUCUCUGAUGUUAGCGGCGGACGGGUGAGUAACACGUGGAUAACCUACCUAUAAGACUGGGAUAACUUCGGGAAACCGUAGCUAAUACCGGAUAAUAUUUUGAACCGCAUGGUUCAAAAGUGAAAGACGGUCUUGCUGUCACUUAUAGAUGGAUCCGCGCUGCAUUAGCUAGUUGGUAAGGUAACGGCUUACCAAGGCAACGAUGCAUAGCCGACCUGAGAGGGUGAUCGGCCACACUGGAACUGAGACACGGUCCAGACUCCUACGGGAGGCAGCAGUAGGGAAUCUUCCGCAAUGGGCGAAAGCCUGACGGAGCAACGCCGCGUGAGUGAUGAAGGUCUUCGGAUCGUAAAACUCUGUUAUUAGGAAGAACAUAUGUGUAAGUAACUGUGCACAUCUUGACGGUACCUAAUCAGAAAGCCACGGCUAACUACGUG
rnacentral:rRNA from 1 species